ACGUGAUCUGAGUUCAGACCGGAGUAAUCCAGGUCGGUUUCUAUCUAUAAUAGAGCUUAUUCUAGUACGAAAGGACCGAAAAAGCAUGGCCAAUACUCCUAGCAAGCCAUCGUUACUAAUUCAUGUUAACCACUUAAUUAAUUGCUAACCUAUAACCCCCCUCAAAAAAAGAGA
rnacentral:rRNA from 1 species